rnacentral:rRNA from 1 species
CGUACACUCCUACGGGAGGCAGCAGUGGGGAAUAUUGCACAAUGGGCGCAAGCCUGAUGCAGCCAUGCCGCGUGUAUGAAGAAGGCCUUCGGGUUGUAAAGUACUUUCAGCGGGGAGGAAGGCGAUAAGGUUAAUAACCUUGUCGAUUGACGUUACCCGCAGAAGAAGCACCGGCUAACUCCGUGCCAGCAGCCGCGGUAAUACGGAGGGUGCAAGCGUUAAUCGGAAUUACUGGGCGUAAAGCGCACGCAGGCGGUCUGUCAAGUCGGAUGUGAAAUCCCCGGGCUCAACCUGGGAACUGCAUUCGAAACUGGCAGGCUAGAGUCUUGUAGAGGGGGGUAGAAUUCCAGGUGUAGCGGUGAAAUGCGUAGAGAUCUGGAGGAAUACCGGUGGCGAAGGCGGCCCCCUGGACAAAGACUGACGCUCAGGUGCGAAAGCGUGGGGAGCAAACAGGAUUAGAAACCCUAGUAGUCCC